AGUGAACGCUGGCGGUAGGCCUAACUCAUGCAAGUCGAACGGCAGCACAGUAAGAGCUUGCUCUUACGGGUGGCGAGUGGCGGACGGGUGAGGAAUACAUCGGAAUCUACUUUUUCGUGGGGGAUAACGUAGGGAAACUUACGCUAAUACCGCAUACGACCUACGGGUGAAAGCAGGGGAUCUUCGGACCUUGCGCGAUUGAAUGAGCCGAUGUCGGAUUAGCUAGUUGGCGGGGUAAAGGCCCACCAAGGCGACGAUCCGUAGCUGGUCUGAGAGGAUGAUCAGCCACACUGGAACUGAGACACGGUCCAGACUCCUACGGGAGGCAGCAGUGGGGAAUAUUGGACAAUGGGCGCAAGCCUGAUCCAGCCAUACCGCGUGGGUGAAGAGGGCCUUCGGGUUGUAAAGCCCUUUUGUUGGGAAAGAAAAGCAGCAGGUUAAUACCCCGCUGUUCUGACGGUACCCAAAGAAUAAGCACCGGCUAACUUCGUG
rnacentral:rRNA from 1 species